GACGAACGCUGGCGGCGUGCUUAACACAUGCAAGUCGAACGGAAAGGCCCUGCUUUUGUGGGGUGCUCGAGUGGCGAACGGGUGAGUAACACGUGAGUAACCUGCCCUUGACUUUGGGAUAACUUCAGGAAACUGGGGCUAAUACCGGAUAGGAGCUCCUGCUGCAUGGUGGGGGUUGGAAAGUUUCGGCGGUUGGGGAUGGACUCGCGGCUUAUCAGCUUGUUGGUGGGGUAGUGGCUUACCAAGGCUUUGACGGGUAGCCGGCCUGAGAGGGUGACCGGCCACAUUGGGACUGAGAUACGGCCCAGACUCCUACGGGAGGCAGCAGUGGGGAAUAUUGCACAAUGGGCGGAAGCCUGAUGCAGCAACGCCGCGUGCGGGAUGACGGCCUUCGGGUUGUAAACCGCUUUCACCUGUGACGAAGUGUGAGUGACGGUAAUGGGUAAAGAAGCACCGGCUAACUACGUG
rnacentral:rRNA from 1 species